UUGACCGGGGACCCGCACAAGCGGUGGAUGAUGUGGAUUAAUUCGAUGCAACGCGAAAACCUUACCUACCCUUGACAUGUCCGGAAUCCCGAAGAGAUUUGGGAGUGCUCGCAAGAGAACCGGAACACAGGUGCUGCAUGGCUGUCGUCAGCUCGUGUCGUGAGAUGUUGGGUUAAGUCCCGCAACGAGCGCAACCCUUGUCAUUAGUUGCCAUCAUUUGGUUGGGCACUCUAAUGAGACUGCCGGUGACAAACCGGAGGAAGGUGGGGAUGACGUCAAGUCCUCAUGGCCCUUAUGGGUAGGGCUUCACACGUCAUACAAUGGUCGGUACAGAGGGUUGCCAACCCGCGAGGGGGAGCUAAUCCCACAAAGCCGAUCGUAGUCCGGAUCGCAGUCUGCAACUCGACUGCGUGAAGUCGGAAUCGCUAGUAAUCGUGGAUCAGCAUGUCACGGUGAAUACGUUCCCGGGUCUU
rnacentral:rRNA from 1 species